rnacentral:lncRNA from 1 species
GUGUUUAUGUGAUGUGUUGUUAUGUGUUGGGCGUGAUUAUGUACAUGGGCAUAUGUAUGUGUGAUGGUUCAUUGGCAUAAGCAUGAAAAUACAUUGAGUUUUCUAUGAAUGAGAAAGUGGGUUUUAGCAAAUUGAAUUUCGGUUUUAUGAGAUUUUGCAUUGGGGUCACCUCUUGAAGUUGUGUGGGGCCACCUCUUGAGACUAUGCAAGGGCUACCUCUUG